AUUGAACGCUGGCGGCAGGCUUAACACAUGCAAGUCGAGCGGGGUGAUGGUGCUUGCACUAUCACUUAGCGGCGGACGGGUGAGUAAUGCUUAGGAAUCUGCCUAUUAGUGUGGGACAACAACUCGAAAGGGAUGCUAAUACCGCAUACGUCCUACGGGGGAAAGCAGGGGAUCACUUGUGACCUUGCGCUAAUAGAUGAGCCUAAGUCGGAUUAGCUAGUUGGUGGGGUAAAGGCCUACCAAGGCGACGAUCUGUAGCGGGUCUGAGAGGAUGAUCCGCCAAACUGGGACUGAGAGACGGCCCAGACUCCUACGGGAGGCAGCAGUGGGGAAUAUUGGACAAUGGGGGGAACCCUGAUCCAGCCAUGCCGCGUGUGUGAAGAAGGCCUUAUGGUUGUAAAGCACUUUAAGCGAGGAGGAGGCUCUUUUGGUUAAUACCCAGAAUGAGUGGACGUUACUCGCAGAAUAAGCACCGGCUAACUCUGUGCCAGCCGCCGCGGUAA
rnacentral:rRNA from 1 species